rnacentral:rRNA from 1 species
GAUUUCCUUAGUAACGGCGAGCGAAAAGGAAAUUGUUCAGCGCCAAGUCUUGACAUUUAAAUGUUCAAGAGAUGCGGCGUUAAUGUGUUGGCGCUUCGUGCDUUGUUUUUUGUUUCAAGUUCCCUUGACUGGGACCCCAAAGUGGGUGCUAGGCCCAUAGAAACAAAGAGCUGACGUAUGCUGGYUAAUGCAUUUUAGAGUCAGGUUGCUUGAGAGUGCAGCUUAAAGUCGGUGGUAAACUCCAUCUAAGACUAAAUAUUACAGCGAGACCGAUAGCAAACAAGUMCCGUGAGGGAAAGUUGCAAAGCACUUUGAAGAGAGAGUUCAACAGUACGUGAAACCACUGGGAGGCAAACAGAUGGAACUACGAAGUUUGCGCUUUAGCCGAUUCAAUCUUUGGUAUUGAUAUAUUAUUGUUGGAAAGMAUCKUUUSSAAGAYUGYCUAAUAAWAAUAUGGUUGAUGCCAUUGGUGCAUUUCGUGCURGRGAUGCUAAGCCACGUUYGAUUAGUGUUGGGACGGCUGUAGGAYAGAAUUUAGAAAAGGUGKCCGUUACGUGCUUGCAUGUAGCGGYGUUAUAGUUCUAAAUUGGAACCGUCGCCUAACGURCUGAUCRAUAAAAUUUCUCCAUAUGGAGUURAACCAURMCUGCCUAUGGUUGRUAGAAUGCAUUUCGAUGUGUCKUUUGCRUGUYUUUGGAUGCGUAAAGMCAUGUCAACARUGUAGGYUAUCAGCUGUUUGCGUGGURUGGUGGAACUGUGGCACGAGUAGGUCAGUCUCCAUCUGACCCGUCUUGAAACACGGACCAAGGAGCCUACCAUAUACGCAAGUCACUCGGUCUUGUUUAGGCCUGGGAGGCGAAAUGAAAGUAACGCUAUGAAGCUUCGGCUGCAAUAGUGGCACGCCUACUUCGUUUAUUGGCGAUCAGGCGUAGCUGGAGCGUAUACGGUGGUACCCGAAAGAUGGUGAACUAUGCCUGGGCAAGACGAAGCCAGAGGAAACUCUGGUGGAGGUCUGUAGCGAUUCUGACGUGCAAAUCGAUCGUCAGACCUGGGUAUAGGGGCGAAAGACUAAUCGAACCAUCUAGUAGCUGGUUCCCUCCGAAGUUUCCCUCAGGAUAGCAGGCGCUUGUUAUGAUCAGUCUCAUCCGGUAAAGCUAAUGAUUAGAGGUCUUGGGGUUGAAACGACCUCAACCUAUUCUCAAACUUUAAAUGGGUGAGAUGGUUGACUUUCUUGAUUGAAGCCAACCAAUUGGAUGUAAGUGCCUAGUGGGCCAUUUUUGGUAAGCAGAACUGGCGCUGUGGGAUGAACCAAACGUCGAGAUAAGGCAUCAAAUGCAUACGCUCAUGAGACCCCAUGAAAGGUGUUGGUUGCUAUAGACAGCAGGACGGUGGCCAUGGAAGUCGGAAUCC